rnacentral:misc_RNA from 1 species
AAAAAAGAGUUAUAUGAUCGGAGCCUUUUCAAUUUGGCAACCUCUAAAGCUAGUGGCAUACUGUCUUGUACUCCUUAGUUUUCUAAGCAUUGGUUAUCCCUCCAAUGGGCCUGACCUUGAAGGUGAAGCUUUGGUUGAGCUUCUAAAAGCACUCAAUGACUCCAGUGGCCGAAUAAAAGAUUGGAAUUAUUAUUUGGUGAGCCCUUGCUUUAGUUGGUCUCAUAUCACUUGCAGAAAUGGAAGUGUCACAUCCCUGAGCUUGGCAUCAAAUGGAUUUUCAGGAACUCUUUCACCUGCAAUUACCAAACUGAAGUUCUUGGUUAGCUUGGAACUACAGAGCAAUAAUCUGUCGGGUCCACUACCUGAUUAUCUCAGCAAUAUGGUACACCUAGAAAAUCUGAAUCUUGCAAAUAAUAAAUUCAAUGGUUCUAUACCUGUUACUUGGGGCCAGCUGUCCAACUUAAAGCAUUUGGAUCUUUCAGCUAAUGACUUGAUUGGACGAGUACCAGUUCAAUUCUUUUCAGUUCCAGAGUUCAAAUAACUUGUACAAAGGGUCUGGCUGCAUCUUGUAUGUAUAGGGAAAUAUCUCCUCCUUCCUGCUUUUGUUUUCACUCUGUGCAAGUUUCACCAUGACAGGUCUUAGUUGUGGUUCUAGCCCAGAGCAACCUUGUGUUUCAAGCUCUCCCUUUCCAGGUUUAUUUGAUAAAAUUUUCCUAUGUUGGAUACUAUUUCCAUGACAUAAUACCGUAGAUGGAGCCUAAACUAUUGAUAUUUUGCAGUUUCUACCAGCAAGUCAAGACUUAGGAUGAUUGUAAUUGCUGCAAGCUGUGGUGCUUUCAUACUUAUGCUACUUGGCAUUGCAUACCGUUACCAUCAACUGCACAAACUACAAAAUGAUGUCUUUGUGGAUGUUGCUAGUGAAGAUGAUUGCAAAAUUUCCUUUGGGCAGCUUAAAAGAUUUUCAUGGCCUGAGAUCCAGAUUGCAACAGACAAUUUUAGCGAACACAACAUAAUUGGACAGGGAGGCUUUGGAAAAGUUUACAAAGGAGUACUUUCAGACAACACAAAGGUUGCUAUAAAACGCCUUUCAGAUUAUCACAGCCCUGGAGGAGAAGCUGCUUUCCAAAGAGAAGUUCAGCUUAUUAGUGUUGCAGUUCAUAGGAAUCUUCUACGACUGAUUGGUUUUUGUAUGACCUCCUCUGAGAGAAUCCUUGUUUAUCCAUUUAUGAAAAAUCUGAGUGUCGCAUACCACCUGAGAGAUUUGAAACCUGGAGAAAAGGGUUUGGACUGGCCAACGAGGAAGCAAGUGGCCUUUGGUGUAGCUCAUGGACUGGAGUAUCUACAUGUGCAUUGUAAUCCUAAGAUUAUACAUCGUGACUUAAAGGCUGCUAACAUCCUAUUAGAUGACAAUUUUGAAGCUGUUCUUGGAGAUUUUGGGUUAGCAAAGCUGGUUGAUACAAAAUUCACUCAUGUUACGACCCAGAUACGUGGUACCAUGGGUCACAUUGCCCCCGAAUAUUUGUCCACUGGAAAGUCUUCAGAAAAGACAGAUGUGUUUGGAUAUGGCAUAACGCUUCUUGAAUUGGUAACUGGUCAGCGUGCAAUAGACCUUUCUCGGCUUGAAGAGGAAGAGGAUGUUCUUCUGAUUGAUCACAUCAAAAAGUUACUGAGAGAAGAUAGAUUUGACGACAUUGUAGAUGGAAACUUGAAGACUUAUGACCGUGAAGAAGUUAAGACAAUUGUUCAGGUUGCAUUGUUGAGCACCCAAAGCUCGCCUGAAGACCGUCCCACAAUGACAGAAGUGGUUAAACUGCUACAAGGAGUUGGUCUGGCUGAGAGAUGGACAAAAUGGGAGGAGCAAGCGAGGAAUCAAGAAUUCUCACUCAUUUCUCGCCGAUAUGCAUGGGCUGAAGAUUCAAUUGUUAAUCAAGAAGCCAUACAGUUGUCCAAGGCUAGAUAGAGCUUUUGUGGUACGGAAUCAAUUUUGAGAGCAUUAUCAACCUAUUAAGUGGAUUACUGUAAGCUAUUGAUUCAAACAUUAUCAACCUAUUAAGUGGAUUACUGUAAGCUAUUGAUUCAAA